UACGGAGGGGGCUAGCGUUGUUCGGAAUUACUGGGCGUAAAGCGCACGUAGGCGGCUUUGUAAGUUAGAGGUGAAAGCCCGGGGCUCAACUCCGGAAUUGCCUUUAAGACUGCAUCGCUCGAAUUGUGGAGAGGUAAGUGGAAUUCCGAGUGUAGAGGUGAAAUUCGUAGAUAUUCGGAAGAGCACCAGUGGCGAAGGCGACUUACUGGACACAUAUUGACGCUGAGGUGCGAAAGCGUGGGGAGCAAACAGG
rnacentral:rRNA from 1 species